rnacentral:lncRNA from 1 species
GUUCCCACUUUUUUACUAUUAUGCGUAAUGCUGAUAUUAAAAAUUUGUGUUCAAGUUCUUAUUGGCCACAUGCUUUUAGUUCUCUUGGGCACCUACCUAGGAGUGGAAUUGCAGACAUAUGGGAGCUCUGUGUAACUUUUUGAGGAACUGCCAGAUGGUUUCCAGAGCAGUUGCAGCGUUUACAUUCCCAGCAGCAAAUAUAAAACUUUGAGAUUUCUCUGUAUCUUCCUCAACAUUUGCUAUUAUAUGUCUGUUGAUUGCAGCCUUUCUAGUAGGUGUGAAGUGGCAUCUCAUUGUGUGUGUGGUUUUGUUUUGUUUUUGUCUUUUUAGGGACACGCCCGUGGUAUAUGGAAGUUCCCAGGCUAGGGGUUGAAUCAAAGCUGUAGCUGCCAGUCUACACCACAGCCACAGCAACAUGGAAACCAAGCUGUGUCUGCGACCUACACCGCAGCUCACUGUGAUGCCAGAUCCUUAACCCACUGAGUGAGGCCAGGGGUCGAACCCACGUCCUCAUGAGUUCUAGUGGGGCUUGUUACCACUGAGACAUGACAGGAACUCCCUCAUUGUGGUUUUGAUUUGCAUUUUCUUUCUGAAUGUUAAAUGAUAUUGGUCAUCUUUUCAAGUGCUUAUUUGUCAUUUAUAUUUCUUCUUUGGAGAGAAGUCUGUUCAAAUCAUUUGCCCAUUUUUGAAUUAGAUGGUCUUUAAUUGUUGAGAUAUAAGAUUUCUUUAUAUGUUUCAUACACUCUGUAGAAAUCAUACAUUCUUAUCAGAUAGAUGACUUGAAAUAUGUUCUCCCAUUCUGUGGGUGCAGCUAGUCAAUUCUGAUGGAUAUACCAGUUGGGAGAUAUUUGUGGCCUCUUAAAGUAGAAGAUUAGCAAUCCUCUCUGACUAGUUGGCUUUGGGUAUGUACAUUCUUAGCCUGUUCUUCCACUUUAUACCAAAUGAGUGUAUCUUCUAUGUGUUUGUUGCUCUGGCUACUGCAGUUGAGAUUUGUGAAAUCCUAUUUAGGUAUAUAUCCUGUUAUGGCCUGUGUCCUGGUCACAAGUAUGGGAAACCUUUAGGGGUCACCAAGUUUAUUUAUUUAUUAAAUUUAAUUUUAUUGGAGUAUGGUUGAUUUACAAUGUUGUAUUAGUUUCAGGUUUCAGCAAAGCGAAACAUAUAAAUAUGUCCAUUCUUUUUUCCCAUAUAGGUUAUUAUAAACUAUUGAGUAGAUUUUCCUGUGCUAACCAGUAGGUUCUCAUUAAUCAUUUAUUUUGUAUAACAGUGUGUAUAUUCUAUUCCCACCCUCCCAAUUCUUCCUUCCCUCACAAGGAUUUCGCCUGUGGUAACCAUAAUAUUGGUUUUGAAAUCUGUGAGUUUUUUUUUUUUCUGUUUUAAUAAGUCCCUUUGUAUCAUUGUUUAUUAGAUUCCACAUGUAAGUGAUAUCAUAUGAUAUUUGUCUAUCUCUGACUUACUUCACUCAAUAUGUUGGUCUAGAUUCAUCCAUGUUGCUGCAAAUGGCAUUAUUUUGUUCUUUUUAAGGUUGAUAAUAUUCCAUUGUAUAUAUGUACCACAUCUUCUUUAUCCAUUCCUUUGUCAGUGGACAUUUAGGUUGCUUCCAUGUCUUGGCUAUUGUCAAUAGUGCUGCAGUGAACCUCAGGGUGCAUGUAUCUUUUUGAAUUAUGGUUUUCUCUGGAUAUAUGCCCAGGAGUGAAAUUGCUGGAUUGUAUGGUAGUUCUAUGUUUAGUUUUUUAAGGAAGUUCCUUAAGAGCCAUCCCAUGUAAAUAAGAAUGGUGACAUUAGUCAAUAGCGUCCCUGAAGACAUAAGACAUGCAGGAGCUAAAGACAGGGGAAGGGCCUGGAGAAGAGAGAAGGGAGCAGAAAUAAGGACGAACACAUUUCCUUACAAUUUUGCUGAGGAUCCGGCUCUAACUUUUCUUUGACCAUAAAUGAGAUGUGCUAGUCGACGCUGUGUAUACACGAUGCUUCCCUGCCACACUUAGAGUACAGGGUAGAGGAGGGUGAUGAUGCUCGCUUGGUACCUUUCAAAAUUUAUUUGGCGAGAGAGAGUUAAAAGAUGUAAUAAUAUAUUUAGCUUGUGGAGAAAAGCUUUUUCUUAAAGGUGCAGAGAGAGCCAUCUUCUCCAUCUCAUUGUCUCGUUUCAGAUUAAUAAAGGAGCAUGUGUACAGCAAGCGAUUGCAUCUGUAAUCUGACCUACUAAGGAAAGUCACUGGGUUCUUUAAGACAACUGUAUUUAAAGUAUCACAGUUGAAAAUAAAGCCACCUGCCCCCAGGGGAAAAAAAAAUCCAUUGAUUAACGAUUUCUAAAUCAUUAGGUUGUGUCUGUUCCAUAAGAGUGCUUCUGACCCUGUACUCGCUAGAUUAAUCUGUAUCCCUGUGUUGUUAAAAUCACCACUUCAAUCCAGUGCAUAAGAGAGUCAAGCUGGGAGUCAGUUUCGUGAAAAUAAUACAGCUUCUGUAUUAUUUUAAAAAUCAUACUUUUAAAACCAAAUACAUUCCAAAGAGAUAAUUGUGUCUAUAAUAAGUACUCUAAAAAACAUAGGGAAUGGUGUUAGUAAGUAAAAUCCUGCCUUAAAUAAAUGGUAUUAUUGAGGGGGAAAAACCCCUGUCUCCAAUCAGAACUUUUUUUUUUGUCUUUUUGCCAUUUCUUGGGCCACUCCCGCAGCAUAUGGAGGUUCCCAGGCAAGGGAUCUAAUCGGAGCUGUAGCCACCGGCAUAUGCCAGAGCCACAGCAACAUGGGAUCUGAACCACGUCUGCAACCUACACCACAGCUCACAGCGAUGCUGGAUCCUUAACCCACUGAGCAAGGCCAGGGAUCGAACCCGCAACCUCAUGGUUCCUAGUUGGAUUCGUUAACCACCACUGAGCCACGAUGGGAACUCCAGAACUUUUUUUUUUUUUUUGGUAAGGAAAAUGGCAGGACUAUACUGGUUUCAUGAAAGAGAUGGAGAAAUCCGGGCGGAAAGGGAAGGUUCUAUAGAACUGACCCCGUACAGCAGGGGGAAUCACGAAGGUCUCCCUGGACUCCUCUUGUUGGAUAAUGCCCCACUGGCAAGUACACUUAGCCAAAGUGCACAUAUUAUUAGCCAGUUUUGUUUUUUUUAAAAUGAACUUUGGCACUGGGUGAAAUUCAUGGGAAAGACAGGCCAGCUUUACUCAUGUGGCUGGGUGGACUGGCCCAGCUCACAGCUGCCAAGCGUUUCUGUUCAGAUUGUUGGCCAUCUAGCUCGAGAGCCCCUGGAAGGGAACCUGUGUCAUCUCCGUGUCCUGUCCCGGGCCUGGCACCCCUUUGGCGCUCUCGAAAUCUGUGAAUAAUGUCUGCCUACACAGCUGAGAGAAAUGCGUCAUCUUCUCAAUUGGGACAUGUCAUCGCUUCCGUGCCCUCCGUACGGUGCAUGCCGGCCAUGGGGGGCUUAAAUGAAAGUGCACUUGUGCUUGUCAAAAUGUCCCCAAAAAGAGACGUGGGGUUUGGAGGCAACCCCCUCUCCACCUCUCACAAGAGCAGCUCAGAGACAAGAGUGCUACAGUUCUGUGUUGAACUUGAAUUUGCAGUCGGUUCCAAGGCACAAUAAUGCCUUCUCUUGGUUGUUUUUUUCUUUUCACAUUACAGUACUUCAUUAUUGCCACAGGGGGAACUGUUGGCUUAAUUUUGCUUUAGAGACACUGCUGCUGAAAUUAUUAAACUAAUGAUUUAUGCCCCCAGUGAUACAGCAAUCUCUUGUGCUUAAAAUGGUUACUAUGUUUUGUUUACUGUUUAUAACUACCAGUGGUUAUGCCACGAAAAGCCCCUGCCAGCUUGCAGGGUUUAUUUAUCCCUGUGGAUCUUUAGAAACCACUGAUUAAUAUAGAAAAAAUUUGAAUGGUUUAUAUUUUUAAAAAUCCCAUAAGCUAUGAAUUAAACCACUGUGCUGUGCUCUAUAGGAGGAAAAUUUCAGUGAGAAUAAACAAUGGAUGUCAAAACCUCCUGCCUCUCGUAUUUGCUUCUGGUUGUAUCAAAGUGGAAAGUAGGAGUGCUUUUCAGGAAUACCGUACUGUGACUCCAUCAGCUUUGGCCUCUGAGAUCACCAGCAUUUCCCCUUGGGUGCCGCACAUUUUACCAUAUUAAGGAACCAAUUUGCUGAGAGAAAUGUUGCACAUGUUUAAAGGCCGUUAAGUUUGAUGGCUGGCAGAACGCUCCCAUUUAGCCCCAAGGCCGGACCUUGGUGAAAGAAGGCUUUACUACCAGCCUGCAUUUUUGUUUUGUUUUGUUUUGAAGUUUGCUUUUUGUCACCAAAGGAUGACACAAGGCAGAUGAACCUUGGGGCAGGGAGGGCUGUGAUUUGUGAGUGUUGAUUUGUUUAAAAUGGCAAAACGGUUCUUACACAAAUGUGUAAGUCUUGACCCUGUUGCCUGUCCAAGAGAAAGAGAGAAAACAUCGCUGUCGGUUUGGGCAGUUUCAGCCCAAUCCUCCACCUUCAGUCUUAGGCAUCACUUGCGGGUACUUCCAUUGCACCUGUCUGCGGGCUCCUGAAUGAGCUCCAUCAGUCCAUCUGGCUUUGUUUCUGCUGCAGGAUAGCCUGUCCAUCUCCCCUACCCCACCCCUGCCGUCUGCUCCGUGUCCCCAGUCCUUCAGUCAUGGGCCAGCUCUGAUGUUCACCCAGCACCUUUAUUCUGUGGUCUGAUGUGGUCCCUUCGAACCAUGGCGUGCUCUUCCCUGAGGCGCCCCACACACCAAGCCAGGCCAUGGUACUGGGGCUGGGUACAGGGACAAACGUUUUUCAGUCGGGCGGUGGUGUCUGUAAAUACAACGAACGUGGACCAUCCUGACUUGAGCAAAUUAAUUUGUAAGCAAGAAAGAGAACAAGGCCCUGAGUAUGGGAACAAAGCAGCAGUCAUAAUGUGAACAUCUGUGUACAGCUUUAUCCUCGGAUAUUCCCUGGGCACAGAACUUUCCAUACCAAAAUGCAGUCAGACGUUUAAGAGAAAGAUAAGUUGGUCAUUGAAACACCACACCAGGGAGUAAUAAGAACUCUUUCAUUCUUCCUCAUAAUGCACUCUUUUCCUUCAUGAAGAUGCAAAUUUUAGCCAUAAAAAUAGUCACAAUAUUAUAACCCAUGUGAAUAUGGAAAACAUAUUAUCCAAGUGGCAAUUUUAAUUGGAAAUAGUUACCUAAUCUCAUACGUAAAUGUCUUCAUUCAGGAUGUAUUUUCAGUUGCUCUUAGAAUUACUCUCCUUCUUGAAUUAGAAAAAUAAAAUGAAAGAAAUAGGAAUUCUGAUGCAGUAUACUCCAAAGAAUUUUUAUAAAUUUCAUGUUUGAUUUUUAUUUUAACACCACAUUUAGGAAACUAAAUCCUAUAUAGCUUAUCAUCAGUGUUUUGCUGAUCAUUUUUUUUUUAAACUUCAAAAUGUGAUUUAAUUACAAAUUAUUUUUAAGUCACAGAAAACCU